AUGUAAACGGAACCAUUCCCCCACCUUUAAUUUUUUUUUUUACGGAAUCCCACGUCUAGGCUAUGGCGAUACCGAUUCUGAAAAAAAAUUUUCAAAAAUCGCAACUUCAAAAUUUCAGUCCCCACCCUUCCCUCAUUUCACUUUUCACUUUUUCCGGAAAUUUUGUUUUUGCGAAAUACGUACAAAAAUACGGAGAUUAUGAUUCUGAAAAAAAAUUUGCUUGUAAAA